CGGAGGGCCGAGUUUACCUAGCCCGCUGGUUCUGGUGACCGAGGCCUGCACGGGUCCUUUCCCGAGCGGGAAGGAGGGUCUGGAAAGGCCAGGCCUAGGGUUGGGGACUGGGGUGCAGUGCGGCUGGUGGAGGAGUGCGGCGGCUGAGGCUGGCGGCUUCGGGAGUUUUCUUUUUGGGAGGAGGGGGCGCGGCUCGUGGCGCGUUCGGUGCGGGGAAGUGGGUUGAGACUCUGACAGCCUGAAUCGCUGAGGUGCUGGGCGCGACGCGGGCCUGCCUUUUCCGGCUGGGGCGAGUGACCUGGAACUCUAAUUUCUUUUUUGAAGGAGGUCUACCUUCUCGUAUCCAUGCCUGCACAGAGAGGGCUGUGUAGAGAAAGAGAGGACUUCUGGGCUCCUGACAGCCCACUUUCAGAAUUUCAAGGCAAACACUGGGCUGACUCUGGGGCCAUGAUGUUCCCUGAUCCUUCUGCGUGGGGAGAGCAGGCCUGGGAGGAGAUUUCGCCUUUGGGAAACAGGAAAGAUAUGGAAACCAUGAAGGAAUUGACUCAACAUCCUAAGGCCAAAGGUUUGCCUUCUAACAAUACUGACUCCAAGAAAAGAAGGGAAAGCCCCAAAUACUGUUUAACCGGCUACCGCUGUACUCAAGAUUGGGCAGGUGAAGCUGCAAAGUGCCCUCACCUCAUGCCAUUGCUUAUGGGCAAACAUUGUUCGUCGUAAGCAGUUUUCUGGGAAAGAAGCACUGUACCAGUUACAUUCAGGGAUGUGGCUGUAGUCUUCAUGGAGGCAAAUGGAAGAGACUGAGCAGAAGAACCUAUACAAAGAAGUGAUGCUGGAGAAUUACAGGAGUGUAAUCUCAUUGGAUGGGCACCCUGAAGUUCAGAUUUAUUUCAUAUGCAGUCUCUUCAACCACUGUUUUGUAUACUGUCUUCUACGUUUGGAAGCCCUCCAGACUGAGUGAGUUUUUACAUGUUUCAGUUCCUUUUUUGUAAUAAGAAAAGUCAUAAAAGAGAUUUCCACAUAGGUCACAGAGACUAUUACCUCCGAGUAGAACGGAGUUGUGGACAGUAUAUGUCAAUCUGGGUGUCGGUGGCUUAGAUGAUGUAGUAGAAAGAAAGGCUAAGGGUAAUUGAAGUUGCUUACAGAGCAGACUGCUUACUUACUUGAAAGGUUCCUAGUCUGACAUGUAGAAGAUGUUUUUGGUGUGGAUUUUCUGGAUCGCAAUAGAAAAUGGAAUGUGUAGAAAUGGAAUGUAAAGGCAUUAUUGGUGGGAAACAAAUCAGGUUGUACACAUGUGGUCAUUUACAGGUGUGACAGGAAGACACUCUCUCCUAAGACAAGGUGGAACAGCCCGGCAGCCACACUUAGUGCUUCUUUAACUGGAAACUCUCCCUCCAGCAGAACCAAAGCCAGGAAUCCACCCAUGUUCCUCCUGCCUUCUGGCCUUCUCCUGUCAGCAGUUCCUCAGCCAGCGUGUGCUUCAGAUCUUCCCCAGUUUAUGUGUGGAAAAUCACUUCCUUCCAGGGGAUUCUGGCCUGGAGCCUCAGGAGCAGCAGUGUUCUGCUCAGUGAAAACACGGAAGGGCAAGAGAGAGAAGGCAGUUCCAAACUCUUGUGUACGGGGACAGAGGAGAGAGACCUCAGGCUCAUUCUCUGGCCCCCGCUGUGGACAGUCAGCAAGUCCUAGAGAAGGCACCAGGGUGGUAGAAAUAGACCCCAAGUCAGCCCAAAGGGUAAAUCCUGUGCAACCAGGCAAAGGAUUGAUGGAAUUAGAAACCUCGAGAUCUGGAGCAGUCAACUGUAGAGAGCGUGAAUUAGACUGUGGCCCGAGAUCAAACUUCAUUACAGACCAGACCACCCUCUUUGGGGAGAAACCCUAUGUUUGCAGAGAGUGUGGGCGAGGCUUUGAAGAUAAGUCGGCUUCCAUCAGAUGCCAUCGGACACACUCAACUGAAGAGCCUCAUGUGUGCAGUGAGUGUGGCUGAAGCUUCAGCCUGAUGUAACUCCUUAUUAAUCACCAAAGGACACAUUCAGGGGAGAAGCUAUAUGUGUGCAAGGAGUGUGAGUGAGGCCUUAACCAGAAGUCCAACCUUAACAGACACAUGAGAACACAUUCAGAAGAGAAGUCUUUUUUUUUUUUUUUGUGAGGAGGAUCAGCCCUGUGCUGACAU